GCACAUAAGGUCUCUCUCUCUCCUCUCUCUCCUCUCUCUCUCUCUCUCUCUCUCUCUCUCUCUAUAUAUAUAUAUAUAUAUAUAUAUAUAUAUAGAGAGAGAGAGAGAGAGAGAGGGAGGGGAGAGAGAGAGAGAGAGAUAGACACA
rnacentral:miRNA from 1 species